CCUACGGGCGGCUGCAGUGGGGAAUAUUGGACAAUGGGGGGAACCCUGAUCCAGCCAUGCCGCGUGUGUGAAGAAGGCCCUCGGGUUGUAAAGCACUUUCAGUGAGGAAGAACGCCUGGUGGUUAAUACCCAUCAGGAAAGACAUCACUCACAGAAGAAGCACCGGCUAACUCCGUGCCAGCAGCCGCGGUAAUACGGAGGGUGCGAGCGUUAAUCGGAAUUACUGGGCGUAAAGCGCGCGUAGGUGGCUUGAUAAGCCGGUUGUGAAAGCCCCGGGCUCAACCUGGGAACGGCAUCCGGAACUGUCAAGCUAGAGUGCAGGAGAGGAAGGUGGAAUUCCCGGUGUAGCGGUGAAAUGCGUAGAGAUCGGGAGGAAUACCAGUGGCGAAGGCGGCCUUCUGGACUGACACUGACACUGAGGUGCGAAAGCGUGGGUAGCAAACAGGAUUAGAUACCCCAGUAGUC
rnacentral:rRNA from 1 species